rnacentral:rRNA from 1 species
GACGAACGCUGGCGGCGUGCUUAACACAUGCAAGUCGAACGAUGAACCGCUUUCGGGUGGGGAUUAGUGGCGAACGGGUGAGUAACACGUGGGCAAUCUGCCCUGCACUCUGGGACAAGCCCUGGAAACGGGGUCUAAUACCGGAUAUGACUAUCUGCCGCAUGGUGGAUGGUGUAAAGCUCCGGCGGUGCAGGAUGAGCCCGCGGCCUAUCAGCUUGUUGGUGAGGUAGUGGCUCACCAAGGCGACGACGGGUAGCCGGCCGGAGAGGGCGACCGGCCACACUGGGACGGAGACACGGACCAGACUCCUACGGGAGGCAGCAGUGGGGAAUAUUGCACAAUGGGCGAAAGCCUGAUGCAGCGACGCCGCGUGAGGGAUGACGGCCUUCGGGUUGUAAACCUCUUUCAGCAGGGAAGAAGCGAAAGUGACGGUACCUGCAGAAGAAGCGCCGGCUAACUACGUGCCAGCCGCCGCAGUAA